rnacentral:rRNA from 1 species
AUACGUAGGGGGCGAGCGUUGUCCGGAAUGAUUGGGCGUAAAGGGCGCGUAGGCGGCCCGGUAAGUCUGGAGUGAAAGUCCUGUUUUUAAGAUGGGAAUUGCUUUGGAUACUGUCGGGCUUGAGUGCAGGGGAGGUAAGUGGAAUUCCCAGUGUGGCGGUGAAAUGCGUAGAGAUUGGGAGGAUCACCAGUGGCGAAGGCGACGUACUGGACUGUAACUGACGCUGAGGCGCGAAAGUGUGGGGAGCAAACAGGAUUAGAUACCCUGGUAGUCCACACUGUAAACGAUGAAUGCUAGGUGUAGGGGGUAUCGACCCCUUCUGUGCCGCAGUCAACACAAUAAGCAUUCCGCCUGGGGAGUACGGCCGCAAGGUUGAAACUCAAAUGAAUUGACGGGG